rnacentral:rRNA from 1 species
CAGUAGCCACGGUAAUACGGAGGGGGCAAGCGUUGUUCGGAAUUACUGGGCGUAAAGCGCACGUAGGCGGCUUGGUAAGUUAGAGGUGAAAGCCUGGAGCUCAACUCCAGAAUUGCCUUUAAGACUGCCGAGCUAGCAGGUGAGAGAGGUAAGUGGAAUUCCGAGUGUAGAGGUGAAAUUCGUAGAUAUUCGGAAGAACACCAGUGGCGAAGGCGGCUUACUGGCUCAUACUGGACGCUGAGGUGCGAAAGCGUGGGGAGCAAACAGAAUUAGAUACCCCAGUAGUCCCUGUCUCUUAUAC